rnacentral:rRNA from 1 species
GGCUCCACAUCCAAGGAAGGCAGCAGGCACGCAAAUUACCCACUCCCGGAACGGGGAGGUAGUGACAAAAAAUAACGAUACGGGACUCGAUAUGAGGCCUCGUAAUCGGAAUGAGUACACUCUAAAUCCUUUAACAAAAAUCUAUUGGAGGGCAAGUCUGGUGCCAGCAGCCGCGGUAAUUCCAGCUCCAAUAGCGUAUAUUAAAGUUGUUGCGGUUAAAAAGCUCGUAGUUGGUUCUGCGUCCCGCGCUGUCGGUACACCGUUUGUCGGUGACACUGGCAUGACGCGGGAUGUCCUGUCGGUGGCGGCGGAGACCAUAUCGCCGUCGGAUAACACCGCGGCGUGUUGGCCUUCUGUCGCCGGCUAUAUCCUACCGCGGUGCUCUUCACUGAGUGUCGAGGUAGGCCGACACGUUUACUUUGAACAAAUUAGAGUGCUUAAAGCAGGCAAAAAUCUCUGCCAGAAUAGUGGUGCAUGGAAUAAUGGAACAGGACCUUGGUUCUAUUCUGUUGGUCUCCGGAACACAAGGUAAUGAUCAAUGUGGACAGGCGGGGGCAUUCGUAUUGCGGCGUUAGACUUGGCAAAUGCUUUCGCGGUGAAAUUCUUGGAUCGUCGCAAGACGCACUAGAGCGAAAGCAAUUGCCAAGUAUGUCUUAAUUGAUCAAGAACGAAAGUUAGAGGUUCGAAGGCGAUCAGAUACCGCCCUAGUUCUAACCAUAAACGAUGCCAGCCAGCGAUCCGCCGAUGUUCCUUUGAUGACUCGGCGGGGAGCUUUCCCCGGGAAACCAAAGCUUUUGGGUUCCGGGGGAAGUAUGGUUGCAAAGCUGAAACUUAAAGGAAUUGACGGAAGGGCACCACCAGAAGUGGAGCCUGCGGCUUAAUUUGACUCAACACGGGAAACCUCACCAGGUCAGGACAUUGGAAUGAUUGACAGAUUGAUAGCUCUUUCUUGAUUCAGUGGGUAGUGGUGCAUGGCCGUUCUUAGUUGGUGGAUCGAUUUGUCUGGUUAAUUCCGAUAACGAACGAGACUCUAGCCUAUUAACUAGACGCGUUUGGUAUCGAAUCUACCGGCGAACAAUAUUCUUCUU